rnacentral:rRNA from 1 species
AUGAACGCUGGCGGCGUGCUUAACCCAUGCAAGUCGCACGGAAAGGCUCCUGCUUGCAGGGGUACUCGAGUGGCGAACGGGUGAGUAACACGUGGGUGAUCUGCCCUGCACUUCGGGAUAAGCCUGGGAAACUGGGUCUAAUACCGGAUAGGACCACAUUUUGGAUGGUGUGGUGGAAAGUUUUUCGGUGUGGGAUGAGCUCGCGGCCUAUCAGCUUGUUGGUGGGGUAAUGGCCUACCAAGGCGUCGACGGGUAGCCGGCCUGAGAGGGUGUACGGCCACAUUGGGACUGAGAUACGGCCCAGACUCCUACGGGAGGCAGCAGUGGGGAAUAUUGCACAAUGGGCGCAAGCCUGAUGCAGCGACGCCGCGUGGGGGAUGACGGCCUUCGGGUUGUAAACUCCUUUCGCUAGGGACGAAGCGCAAGUGACGGUACCUGGAGAAGAAGCACCGGCUAACUACGUG